rnacentral:rRNA from 1 species
UGAACGCUGGCGGCAGGCCUAACACAUGCAAGUCGAGCGGAUGAAGGGAGCUUGCUCCUGGAUUCAGCGGCGGACGGGUGAGUAAUGCCUAGGAAUCUGCCUGGUAGUGGGGGAUAACGUCCGGAAACGGGCGCUAAUACCGCAUACGUCCUGAGGGAGAAAGUGGGGGAUCUUCGGACCUCACGCUAUCAGAUGAGCCUAGGUCGGAUUAGCUAGUUGGUGGGGUAAAGGCCUACCAAGGCGACGAUCCGUAACUGGUCUGAGAGGAUGAUCAGUCACACUGGAGCUGAGACACGGUCCAGACUCCUACGGGAGGCAGCAGUGGGGAAUAUUGGACAAUGGGCGAAAGCCUGAUCCAGCCAUGCCGCGUGUGUGAAGAAGGUCUUCGGAUUGUAAAGCACUUUAAGUUGGGAGGAAGGGCAGUAAGUUAAUACCUUGCUGUUUUGACGUUACCAACAGAAUAAGCACCGGCUAACUUCGUG